GUUAUUGAUUUUUGACAAAUAGCCACCGCAGUGUCCAUUCAGAGCCCAGAACGAGGAUUAAUGCAUCGCUAUUACUGAUGUGUGGUAGGAUUAGUGUAAUACUGUGCGGUUGCGUUAAUGAAUCAUUAAACACUGACUUAUUUUCUGUCCCAACUCGAUGUAAACAACAACAGACCCCGCUGUGUUUAUGUGUCCUGAAACGAGGCGGAGUGAGACGUCUCGUUUCGCGGCCGUGUUCUCGGCGCUGCCCCCUAACGGUCCGGGGAGGAAGCGUCGACCUGGGCGCAGAGAGCGGCCACAUUAAACAGUCCGUUUCACCUCGACUCGUUCGUUGUGGUGCAGACAAACAGGAGAGGAGACACGAGAAAGAAGAGUUUGUUUUAUUAAUAGCUGGGACUGAAUCUGUGGUACCGACACUCCGAAGCACAAGAUGGCGGCAUCGCGCUUCCAACGCUGGAACCAACCGCCGUUUAAAAACAGGACGAAGAAGAUGAAAGACGCGGGUGUAAACAAACCGUGACUUUCGGUGUUUCGGCGGGUUAAAUCUGGGUUAAAUAAGAAGAUGGCGACCUUCAGCAGACGGGCUCUGGACAGGAUCUACUCUGUGGUCUUGCUGGCUGUUGUGGUCUUGUCCUGGUCUUACGUGAUCUACGCCAGCAGGAUCGCAGCUCAUUGGCUGCUGGAGAAGAGGACCGCCCUCCUCCAGCAAGGCUGACGGCUCAUUGGCCCGCCGACACAGAUAUGUAAAUGAACGGCGAGGGCGAGCGAGGUUCUUUCGGCUGACUGUGAACGAACACUGAUCGCAACUGAAGAAACGCAUCAAACGGUGAACUCGGGGAUCAGACCGGAUCCAGGAGAUCGUCGUUCAGAAUCCCCGGUAUGGUGGAAUACAGCUCUCGCUCGUUCUCCGCCUCUGCCUCCGUCUCCACGGCGAUGUGUUUGGGCAUCUUGGCGUCGGGGUUAACGUCCUUGGAGACCAGAGACGUCUUCUUCCCCUCCAGCCAGUAAGUCACCAUGUCACCUUUCCCCUGUUGGAGACAGACAGCGUCACUGGGCUGAGCUCCCAGUGCUCCCAGUGCCCGGCAGAACUGGACUGUGGUGGGAGCGGGCUCACCUUGACCUGCAGCGUCCCUCUGCACUCCAGCACGUAGCCGCCGAUCUCCUCCAGCAGGUAAAACGCGCUGGAGCUGCACUGGAUCUUCAGGGCUGCAAAGGCAGCGACGCAGCGUUAGCAUGUUCAUAAAGCAACAUGCCGCUGGUUUUAGCUCUGGUUUUAGUCCAGAAACAAAUACAGUUUACAUAUUCUACGUUACUGCAGUUGGUUUCGGUUCUUUUCCGUGAUCUACGGGGUCAGGGUGCUUAAUAACAGAGCCACAGCAGCAGACCUGGGAUCAGUAGCCCAGCAGCCUGUGCGCUGAAUAUAAUAUGGAUGAAACAAUUGAUUUUGAGUGUUACCCAGACUGGUGGACUCCAUCCUGGAUGCUGUGUUGACUGUAUCUCCAAACAGACAGUAACGAGGCAUCUUCGUCCCUACAACCCCCGCCACCACCGGACCUGAGAGAGAGAGAGAGAGAGACGUUAAAAGAGCGGGAAAAUGGGUUUAAUGACAGAUUCUGAUUUGUUUUUUUAGCAACUUCUGUGCACCGGAGUACAUGUUGUUUGAAACGUGUGUGUACCGGAGUGUAUCCCCGCUCGGAUCUGCAGCUGUGUGUUGGGUUUGUGGGGGAUCCUGAAGGUGCGACAGACGCCCACCAGGUCCAGAGCCAUGCUGGCGAUCUCUGAGGCGUGGAGGAUCCCGUUCUCCAGAGGAACACCAGACACCACCAUGUCUACACGACCACACGAUGAUACAGCGUCGCCGAUGGUUUCCACCUUGUACACGUCGUAGUUGUCGAUGAUGUCGUCAAACGUCGUGUAGAGUUUGUUGAGGAGGUCGACGACCUGGUAAGGAGUGCUGCUGCUGGACAGCUGCGUGAAGCCCACGAUAUCGCUGCACACACACACACACACAUACUUUAGACUUAAUACUUUGAUUUCUUCUCGUUCCACGAUGACCCUCAAGGAGGUAAAUGGACAUAGUUGCACAUAAAAAGAGAAAAGAAACAGAAAUAAAGUAAGUAGACACUUGUCACCCAGUGAUGGACAAAUACAGAACAAUAAAGACGAAAAUGUAUAUAAACACAAAUAUGCAGACAAGCAAAAUAUUCAGUACAGUAAAAGUAGCCAUUAUUAUUCUAACAAACUUUUAUCUUUGAUGUUCUUAGUGUUAAAUAAUUUUUAACAGUGCUUGGAUUAAUUAUAUAGUAUCAUUUAACUCUUCUGUUUCGCUCAUUGUCAAAACAAAUUAAUAUACGAUGAUAUUAAUGAAAUUAAAAAGGCAGAUUAUGACUUGCACAUGUGAAACAGUCAGUUCCUGUCUCUGCUACCUGAAGAAGACGGUGGCGCUGACGUAACUCUGAGCCUGCAGCGGCUUCCCCUGCCGCAGGUCAUCAGCCACCUGUUUAGGAAGCAUACCUGCAACACAAACAUAUUUUUAUUUUAAUUAACCAGGAAGUCUCUUCAGAUACAUUAUCUCUUUUACAGGAGAGAACUGGCCAAAUGGCAGCGUAGAGUAGUUAACACACGAGUCCAAAUGAAGCGCAAAUUUUAAUGCGAAUUUCCAGAAAAUCAUCCAAAGAAAACGUGACUCGCUGCUUGUUUCCAUCCACUGCUGCUGUUUGAACAUGAGCUCGCUGCCAUUAAACCAUCGCAGAAAAAGAGUACGCAACGAGAUGACGUCAUUAAAAAGAGCUCCAGUCGAAGCUCAGACGAUGGAAAACCAGCUGGAUGGAAACGCACGAAGAGAACAGCCGUAAAGGAGAGAGCGCGACUAUUUAAACGGGUUCAUCGUGAAACGUUUUUUUGAAUGUGGAGUUUGAAUGCUUGAUAUGAAAGCAGCGUUUUAGUAGUGAGUCCGACGCAUGCGUACACAGGAUGUCACCAUAAUCCAGAACAAAUAAAAAUGUGGACUGAGUAAUAUUUUUUCUUGCUGCAAAGGGAAAGCAUUUCUUAAAAGGGAAAUAAAAAAACUAUUUGGGUUUGUGUUUCUGUGUGGAAAGUUAAUUUGUCAUUCAGAGACUCAGUCCCGCCUGUCGUUUCAAUACGAGUAAUGUUAUCUACCUUUUGUACAGAAAGUUGAGAUGGAGAAAGUUAUACAUUUGUUGUUUUGUGUAUUCGGGGUUGAUUUUAAUUGUUAAAAUGUUAACUGGUGUUUGUGGAGGCAGUUUGGAGAUUGGUUGGUUUAAACGGGGCAACUGUAUAGAUAACUGUAUCAUCUGCAUAUAAAUACAUCUUUUCUGGGUUUCUUCCAAUGUUGUUUAUAAGAAUAGAAACCUGCACCUGCAACUCAAAACCAGAAAAUUAUUAUUAUUAACACAAUGAAAGUAUACAUGAUUAACAUGUAACAUUUUGUAUUGCAGCUUAAACUUCAGCUGGACAUCAGUAACUAAACUGGCGUGAUGAACAGGUGUGUAUAUGUGUGAGUCGUACUGUAUAGCAGCCUGUCAGUCCUCUGUUUCUCAUGCAUCAGAUCCUGAGUCCGCUCGGCCACCAACACCUCCAGAUGUUUACUGUACUUCUCCAUCUGAAACAGAGACAGUUGUACCUUCAUAUUACACUGAGUUGGGAUUUGUUUUGAUAUGAUACAAAACAGUCGUCAUGUGACUAAAUCGUGUGGCUACACACAACUCGACAGUACAUGCACUACUACUCAUUACUUAUGUUAUUACAUUGUAUUAUUAUACUGUAUUAUCAUCAUCAACCGGUAAACCCACUUGGCACUUCACACUUAUUUUAUCUUAUACUUAUACCUGGUACUUAAUUUAUUUUCUGACCUGUUUUAUAGUGUAUUGUAUCAUAUUGUUUGCUAGUACUUUCUCCUGUGUGCACUGACGUAAUGGUGAGCUGCUGUAACAAAGAGUUUCCCUUCGGGGUUCAAUGAAGUAUUUCUGAUUCUGAUUUAAAUAAAAAUUCCUAGAAGGAAACUUCAGUUCGCAGUGCAGAAUCAUCUAUAAACACCCAGUGAUCUGGUCAGAGCCCUGGAUUUUAAUAAGGUGGUGGAUGGUUUUGUGCAGAAACCAGUGAGAAAGAAACACUAGCUUUAAGGUAAGACAGCUCACACUGUUACAGCAUGUUUAUUGCUAUUUAAUAUUGUAAACAUUUGUCAGGCUCUGUGAUCGGUGCAGACUGAUGGCUUUGGAUGGAAAUCACUUUAUUACACUGGUAAUAUUUCAGAGAAACAUGAUCAAACAGGUGUGCAAAGUCUCUUUUCAUGGUCCUGUGUGGCUGAUAAAUAAUACUGAUUAAAUCCUGUACUGACACAA